AAUUUCAGGUGGAGACUAAAAAGCGUAGACACAGUAUGUAUUACAGAAUCUCUUAAGAUAGAUUUUAGAAAGGAAUUGCGUAAACACUGGAUAUCCUUUUGACUAGAAUACCUCUGUGCUCUAACUCACCUACUGGAAAUAACUUGUAUUCAGUUGUUUGUUUUUUCUCUUAAGUAUUACCUUAACCAACUAAGAAGAAAGUCUUUGUGUCCUCGUGAAGCGUUGGUGUGUGAAAGCAUUGUAAUGGCUGUCGCUGUGUCCUUGUGGCUGUAAGAAGGGUUAGCGUGAUGCCUGUCGGGAAGCACACUCACACAGCAUGCUCAGUCAUGUGGCUCUUUCUUUUGUGUUUUCAUAUCCAUCUAUAUUUAGGCUUUAUCUGUGAUUCCUGUGAUGGCCAAUCAGUGCCUAACUGACUGUUCACUACAUGCAGUGAUCCUCCUGAAACACCAGUCUCACUCUGAUGACUGGACCUGGAACAAGCAGUCAGAUCAGAUGCACAAAUUCUCAGUAGCUGGUAGUUUUCUUGAGUUUUCUGCCAAUAAGCUGACAUGACUCCCUGUUAUAACUGCAUUCUCAGUUUUUUUCAGUAUUAAGGGGAAUUUGUCAGAAGACAACUGUAACCCCUCAGCAUACAAAGAGACCUUCAGCCUCUGACGGUCCUUCCACAAAAACAACCGAAAUACAAACAGAAGACAAUGCCACUGCACCUUCACCAGCUGACGAAGAACCGACAUCAUCAGAGUCCUCACUGAAGUUACAGGUGGAGCAUAAAAGAUUCAAAUGUUGUAUGUAUCAUAGAAUUU